UGCCAUCGGGUUUGGCCGGGCACUCUGAAGGAACUGCCGGUGACAAGCCGGAGGAAGGUGGGGAUGACGUCAAGUCCUCAUGGCCCUUAUGGGCUGGGCUACACACGUGCUACAAUGGCGGUGACAAUGGGCAGCGAAGGGGCGACCCGGAGCUAAUCCCCAAAAACCGUCUCAGUUCGGAUUGCACGCUGCAACUCGCGUGCAUGAAGGUGGAAUCGCUAGUAAUCGUGGAUCAGCAUGCCACGGUGAAUACGUUCCCGGGCCUUGUACACACCGCCCGUCACACCAUGGGAGUUGGUUUUACCCGAAGCCGGUGGGCUAACCUUUCGAGGAGGCAGCCGUCCACGGUAAGGUCAGCGACUGGGAAUCG
rnacentral:rRNA from 1 species